UGGCUGGUGUUCUAACGUAGACCCGUGAUCCGGGUUGCGGACAGUGUCUGGUGGGUAGUUUGACUGGGGCGGUCUCCUCCCAAAGAGUAACGGAGGAGCACGAAGGUUGGCUAAUCCUGGUCGGACAUCAGGAGGUUAGUGCAAUGGCAUAAGCCAGCUUGACUGCGAGCGUGACGGCGCGAGCAGGUGCGAAAGCAGGUCAUAGUGAUCCGGUGGUUCUGAAUGGAAGGGCCAUCGCUCAACGGAUAAAAGGUACUCCGGGGAUAACAGGCUGAUACCGCCCAAGAGUUCAUAUCGACGGCGGUGUUUGGCACCUCGAUGUCGGCUCAUCACAUCCUGGGGCUGAAGUAGGUCCCAAGGGUAUGGCUGUUCGCCAUUUAAAGUGGUACGCGAGCUGGGUUUAGAACGUCGUGAGAC
rnacentral:rRNA from 1 species